UACGGGGGGAGCAAGCGUUGUUCGGAUUUACUGGGCGUAAAGGGCGCGUAGGCGGUCAGCACAAGUCAGUUGUGAAAUCUCCGAGCUUAACUCGGAAAGGUCAACUGAUACUGUGCGACUAGAGUGCGGAAGGGGCAACUGGAAUUCUUGGUGUAGCGGUGAAAUGCGUAGAUAUCAAGAGGAACACCUGCGGCGAAGGCGGGUUGCUGGGCCGACACUGACGCUGAGGCGCGAAAGCGUGGGGAUCAAACAGG
rnacentral:rRNA from 1 species